rnacentral:rRNA from 1 species
UGGGGAAUUUUGGACAAUGGGGGAAACCCUGAUCCAGCCAUCCCGCGUGUGCGAUGAAGGCCUUCGGGUUGUAAAGCACUUUUGGCAGGAAAGAAACGUCAUGGGUUAAUACCCCGUGAAACUGACGGUACCUGCAGAAUAAGCACCGGCUAACUACGUGCCAGCAGCCGCGGUAAUACGUAGGGUGCAAGCGUUAAUCGGAAUUACUGGGCGUAAAGCGUGCGCAGGCGGUUCGGAAAGAAAGAUGUGAAAUCCCAGAGCUCAACUUUGGAACUGCAUUUUUAACUACCGGGCUAGAGUGUGUCAGAGGGAGGUGGAAUUCCGCGUGUAGCAGUGAAAUGCGUGGAUAUGCGGAGGAACACCGAUGGCGAAGGCAGCCUCCUGGGAUAACACUGACGCUCAUGCACGAAAGCGUGGGGAGCAAACAGG